UCUGGCUUCCCAAUGCAGAGGUUGCUGCCAGUAACUGAAAUGGAGAGAGGUGAGGUAGUGGGGAGGUUGGUGCAGUGUGGGAGCAUCAGAUUGGUUCUGCCACUCUGCCUGUACUGUACCGACCUCCUCAAUACCUCGCCUCUCCCCCUCUCAGUCACUUCCAUAUUGGGAAGCCAA